rnacentral:rRNA from 1 species
CUUGACAUGCCAGGAACUUGCCAGAGAUGGCUUGGUGCUCGAAAGAGAGCCUGGACACAGGUGCUGCAUGGCCGUCGUCAGCUCGUGUCGUGAGAUGUUGGGUUAAGUCCCGCAACGAGCGCAACCCUUGUCAUUAGUUGCUACGAAAGGGCACUCUAAUGAGACUGCCGGUGACAAACCGGAGGAAGGUGGGGAUGACGUCAGGUCCUCAUGGCCCUUAUGGGUAGGGCUACACACGUCAUACAAUGGCCGGUACAGAGGGCUGCCAACCCGCGAGGGGGAGCCAAUCCCAGAAAACCGGUCGUAGUCCGGAUCGUAGUCUGCAACUCGACUGCGUGAAGUCGGAAUCGCUAGUAACCGCGGAUCAGCUUGCCGCGGUGAAUACGUUCCCGGGUCUUGUACACACCGCCCGUCACACCAUGGG